UUCUGUUAUUGUCUAAUCCAUUCAUCCUCACUUGCCAAUUUUUUAAGCCUGUCCACAUCUACAUUUUGUCUUUCUUCCCUUCUUGUCUGUACAGGGAAGCAAUUUGGUGACUUUGCUGCCAGGUCAGUAGUGUCACUGGGAAAUGCUGUUUGCACUGCCACCUCUGGAAGUAAGGGUGGAAGACCUGAAAAGGGCUGCUUUUACACAACAGUUUUGAAGAACACCUCUGUGCAAGACAGCAUUCCAGCACUGCCUGUGUUCCCGUGGAUAGGGAUCCAUGGCUCAAGGCCUGAUUUUGCAAAGUCAGGCUGUUUGGAGAGGUUGUCUGUGAUGAGUGAUUUCCAGAAACACUGACGUGAUGGAGUCAUGGAACAAUCAAUGAAGGUUAACUGUCCAGAGGGUUUGGAAUCAUGGAGUCAGAUGGAAUCAAUGGAAACACCUGAAAUGGAUAACAGCUGAGAAGUGGGCGCAACCUGGGAUGCUACACAGAGGAUGGAAGUCAAAGACUGCUUUAAAGGUAAACAAUACUUUGUUGUUUGCAUUAUAAAAGAUAGAAAAUAAAAAAAAAAAUCAUCAGUAACA
rnacentral:lncRNA from 1 species